rnacentral:lncRNA from 1 species
CGCUGCAGCUUCCCAGAGGCCCUGCAGUGUCUCCACUCUCCAUGCCCAUGAUGCCCUGAUGCCUGCGGUGGCUGCACUGAAUGGAAGUAAUAACGCCCUCCUUUAGAGAUCCCCGCGAGUGCUAAGGAACUCGAGAGGAAGCCUCUUAUCAACUGAGCACACUGAGUGAUGUAAGUUAAUGACCAUCAUCUGAAAUGAACUCCUCCCGUCCACUGCCUUCCCACUCCUCCCAGCCCCCACCCACCGGCCCCUCUCAGCUACCCCUGCCCCGCCUAACUUGUCCCAUCUCUUAUUUUCCAGGGUCUCUUCCGGCUUGUCAUUACAGUUCCUCCCGGUCUGCUCAGCCUUCUUUCCUCUGGUCUUACCGUGCUGUCUCCCACCCUUUGUGGAGGAGAAUGCAGGGAAAGAAUAACAGAAAUUAUAGUGAGAGAUGGUGAUGAUGAUGAUGAUGAUGAUGAUGGUGAUGGUGAUGAAGAGUGUGAAUACCCCUUACUGAGCAUUUCUGCAGGCUGACCUCAUUCAACUUCUCAUCUAUUCUUACCUGCAUCCUCGGAGGUAGAUGUUCAAAGUGGUAGUGGCUGCCCCUGACAUCAGCAGAAUAAUAAUCAUGCCCACUAUUUAUUAAGCAUUUACUGUGUGCCCAGUUUGGGAUAAGUAUCUUCUGCUCACUCUCUCCUUUCAGCCUAACAUAAAUGGUAGAGAACAAAAUAUUCUUUUUUUUUUUUUUGAGACAAGGUCUCCUUCUGUUGCCCAGGCUGUCUGUGUGCCUCAGUUUCCUGUCUUUAAAUGGAGUUAAUGAUAGUUUCUACCUCCUAAGGUGUUGUCAGAAUCCAAUGAGAUGAUAUCCAACAAAUACUUGGCACUGGGCAAGCACCCAGAGAAUUUAGCAGUUUUGUCUACUUUGAAGCAUUUUAUGUAUUUGUUUACACAAGUGCUCAUUGAGCAUUUCCUGGAGUUAGGGGCUGCACUGGGAACCAGGGAGACAAUGGUGAAAGUGACAAACAGGUCCUUGCCUUCCUGGUGCUCCUGGUCCAGUGGGGAAGGCAGCCCAGCAAAGCAGUGAUUAUGACACAGUGUAUUGAGGGUGGGAGAGAAAGGUUGACGUGAGAGUAUAACA